GAAAAAUGCAGCCAGAGGAGGACUGGGUGUUUGUGUCGGGGCGGGUGUUUGUGUCGGGGCGGGGCGGGGUGGUUCUCAAAACUAGUCACUUUCUCAUGCCUGUGGAUGGGGCAGGGGGUGUGCGUGUGUGCGUGUGUGUGCAUGUGUGUGUGUAUGUGUAGGGGGAUGGACAGUGAGUCCUCCCUUUGUGAUUAAGAGCAGCAAAUGCAGUUAGAGACAGUAAGAAGUUUUAGCUUCAUACUCUUCCCCAUGAUCUGCCCCCAGUUUCCCUCUCUGGAGCUGUUAAUGAAUAACCGAUCUUAACAUCCAACUUCAAUCCCCUCCCCAGGCACCGUGUCAGGCCAGGGUACUACAACCAGGCGACAACGCUGAGGUCCAGGGCAGUGGCAACAUUCCUCAGCAGUUACUUAGCUGGGUGGUGGAAAAAAAAAAUGCAGCCUAAUUGGCCAGUGGCCUUUUCUAGUGAAUGAAGGAGGUUUCUGUUUUAAGAAAUAAAGUGACUUCUCAGCGGCUGUUGAUUCACUGCCCACAGGGAGAUUUUUGAGCCGAGGCUUCCUAGCCUUGGUAGAAAUUUGCAUACAACUUCCACUUCCUGCUUCGGAGCCUGUUCCAGCUUACCUGGGCCGGGAGAGGGUGGAGGGAGGCCCGGAGCGACCCAAGAAGGAGAGAGCGUGAUCACCCCGUGGCCCGGUCUGUCUGUCCGUGGUGGCUCUAAGAAACUAGGAUGAACCGAAGCAUUCCUGUGGAGGUUGAUGAAUCAGAACCAUACCCAAGUCAGUUGCUGAAACCUCUCUCAGAAUACUCCCUAGAAGAAGAAUCCGAAUUACCUGCUCCAGAUAUAAGGAACAUGGCACCCAACAGCUUGUCUGCACCUCAAACCCCUCACUCUUCCUCAGGAGACUUUUCUCGUGCUCACCCAACCCUGAAGCUUUCAAAUCACCAGCAGCCUGUGUCACAGCAGGUCACCUGCCUGCGCACUAAAGUCCUGGCAGAGAGUGAAGACAGCUUCUGGAGGAGACACCCAGACCCCGGCAAAGAUUUUCCCUCGGGCUGCUCUGUAGCCAGAAAGCCUGAGGCUGAGUCUGUGGUUGGAGCCCUCCCGCCCGAGCAUCAGUUUUCACUUAUGGAAAAACGUAAUCAAUGGCUGGGAUCUCAGCUUUCAGCAGCUUCUCCUGACACUGGCCAUGACUCAGACAAAUCAGACCAAAGUUUACCUAAUGCCUCAGCAGACCCCCCAGGCAGUAGCCAAGAGAUGGUGCCACGGGCCCGGACCCACAGGAACCGAGCAGCCCCUGACCUGCGUACGAUAGACACGGGAUAUGAUUCACAGCCCCAGGACGUCCUGGGCAUCAGGCAACUGGAAAGGCCCCUGCCCCUCACCUCCAUGUGUUACCCCCAGGACCUCCCCAGGCCUCUCAGAUCCAGGGAGUUCCAUCAGUUUGAACCUCAGAGAUAUCCAGCAUGUGCACAGAUGCUGCCUCCCAGCCCUUCCCCACAGGCUCAGUGGAACUAUCACUACUAUUGUCCUGGAGGCCCUGAUCACCUGGUGCCAUAUGGCCAUGAGUACCCUCAAGCAGCCUACCAGCAAGUGAUCCAGCCGGCUCUACCUGGGCAGGCCCCACCUGGAGCCAGUGUGAGAGGCCUGCAUCCUGUGCAGAAGGUUGUCCUGAACUAUCCCAGCCCCUGGGACCAAGAGGAGAGGCCUCCACAAAGAGACUACUCCUCCCUAGGGCUCCUGAGGGAUCAGGGCCGGCUUUAUAACCAGCCACCUCAUAGAGCUGGUGCUCUUGAGGGGUCCUUGGAGUGUCCUGCAGAGUUGAGACCGCAGGGUCCCCAGACUCCAUCCCCAGCUGCUAUCCCUAGACCCCCAAGUAACCCUCCAGCCAGAGGAACUCUGAAAACAAGCAAUUUGCCAGAAGAACUGCGGAAAGUCUUUAUCACUUAUUCUAUGGACACGGCCAUGGAGGUGGUGAAAUUUGUGAAUUUUUUGUUGGUAAAUGGCUUCCAAACUGCAAUUGACAUAUUUGAGGAUAGAAUCCGAGGCAUUGAUAUCAUUAAGUGGAUGGAACGCUACCUUAGGGAUAAGACAGUGAUGAUAAUUGUAGCAAUCAGCCCCAAAUACAAACAGGAUGUGGAAGGUGCUGAGUCACAGCUGGACGAGGAUGAGCAUGGCUUACAUACUAAGUACAUUCAUCGAAUGAUGCAGAUUGAGUUCAUAAAACAAGGAAGUAUGAACUUCAGGUUCAUUCCUGUGCUCUUCCCAAAUGCUAAGAAGGAGCAUGUGCCCACCUGGCUUCAGAACACUCACAUCUACAGCUGGCCGAAGAAUAAAAAAAAUAUCCUGCUGCGGCUGCUCAGAGAGGAAGAGUAUGUGGCUCCCCCCCGAGGGCCUCUGCCCACACUCCAGAAACGCUUGUACGGAGGAGUAAUUGCAGCCCCCAGAUCUCCCAGGACUCGUAAACUAAGACCAGGAGGGCACACACUUCUUGUCCCUGGCCUGACCUCCUUUGCUCCCUUCACCAGGAAGGUGCUGACGGUGAAACAUCACAGAGCCUGCCUUUGUUGCCAACAUCUUAAUUAAGACUCAAGCUCUUCCCUGGGCCCUCUCGGUUUAGGAUCUCCCCUCUCUGGCUCCAGUGUCUUCAGCAGUAACUCAUCAACACAGUACAGUCACAUCACAGGCCCAUCAUCUGAGAAGCACCACCACCAGUCUACUCCAGGAAUGAAGAUCUUUCAGCUGCUGAGCGGUGUGGAUGGAUAAAGAGCCUGGCUGACUGGUUUAGGAGACAAUCCAGAUUUGGUAAGAACCUCUGCUUCAUAUUUUCAUCUUAAGGAGAGGUCUUCUCUGCUAAAGUCGAAUGGAAAAUGAAAUUACCUGCUAAUUCAGGCAAGAAAAAUCUCAGCUCCCUACUCUCAUAAAUUUGUGAAAAUAAAUGUUUUAAAAACAAAUUACAACUCAAUUGCCCUAGUUCUCAUUUGAAAACAUCUGGUGAGACCACUGGGUACAGUUUUCCACUACCCUUUUUUUUUUUUUCUUUAGGUAUAAAAACACACAUACAAAGGUUUCUUAUAAUCUUAAAAGAACAGGGUGGCAUGCUAUUUACUGACAGGCUGACCUUUACACAAAGAACCCUAACCUUCAACAAGCUGAAAUUACUGUUACUGAUGCCUUCAGAAUAUCAUCUUCUUCAGAAAGCAUCAUGUUUUGUCCAAGUCAUACAGAAGUGGCUAUAUUAUGGACACCAUUUGGCCACCAAAUGGUGCAAGGCAGAGGGCAGGGGAAAAUUAUUUCUGCAGUACCAACUAUAAGUCUGAUACUGUGCAAGGAAAAAUAGGAAAUGUCA